rnacentral:piRNA from 1 species
UAGCACUUAAACAAAUCUCAC